GACGAACGCUGGCGGCGUGCUUAACACAUGCAAGUCGAACGAAGAGCGAUGGAAUCUUGCUUCUAUCAAUCUUAGUGGCGAACGGGAUGGUAACGCGUAAUCAACCUGCCCUUCAGAGGGGUACAACAGUUGGAAACGACUGCUAAUACCUCAUGCGAUCUAACCUCGGCAUCGAGGAAAGAUGAAAGGUGGCGUCUAGGUAUAAGCGAUCACUGAAGGAGGGGAUGGAGUCUGAUUAGCUAGUUGGAGGGGUAACGGCCCACCAAGGCGAUGAUUAGUAGACGGGCUGAGAGGAUGGACGGCCACAAUGGGACUGAGACACGGCCCAGAAUCCUACGGGAGGCAGCAGUGGGGAAUCUUCCGACAUGGACGAAAGUCUGACGCAGCAACGCCGCGUGAGGGAUGAAGGCCUUCGGGUUGUAAAGCUCUGUUAAUCGGGAAGAAAGGCCUUCUUGCGAAUAGUGAGAAGGAUUGACGGUACCGGAAGAGAAAGCCACGGCUAACUACGUG
rnacentral:rRNA from 1 species